GAUGAACGCUAGCGGCAGGCCUAACACAUGCAAGUCGAGGGGUAGCAGGAUUAAGCUUGCUUAAUUGCUGACGACCGGCGCACGGGUGCGUAACGCGCAUGCAACCUACCUUAUACUGGGGCAUAGCCCGGAGAAAUUCGGAUUAAUCCCCCAUAGUACUAAUGAAUCGCAUGGUUUAUUAGUUAAAGCAUUGCGGUAUAAGAUGGGCAUGCGUCCUAUUAGCUAGAUGGUGAGGUAACGGCUCACCAUGGCUACGAUAGGUAGGGGGCCUGAGAGGGUGGUCCCCCACACUGGUACUGAGACACGGACCAGACUCCUACGGGAGGCAGCAGUGAGGAAUAUUGGUCAAUGGGCGCAAGCCUGAACCAGCCAUGCCGCGUGCAGGAAGAAUGCCCUAUGGGUUGUAAACUGCUUUUAUUUGGGAAUAAACCUCUUUACGUGUAGAGAGCUGAAGGUACCAAAUGAAUAAGCACCGGCUAACUCCGUGCCAGCAGCCGCCGUAA
rnacentral:rRNA from 1 species